rnacentral:rRNA from 1 species
AUUGAACGCUGGCGGCAGGCUUAACACAUGCAAGUCGAGCGGAGAUGAGGUGCUUGCACCUUAUCUUAGCGGCGGACGGGUGAGUAAUGCUUAGGAAUCUGCCUAUUAGUGGGGGACAACAUUCCGAAAGGAAUGCUAAUACCGCAUACGCCCUACGGGGGAAAGCAGGGGAUCUUCGGACCUUGCGCUAAUAGAUGAGCCUAAGUCGGAUUAGCUAGUUGGUGGGGUAAAGGCCUACCAAGGCGACGAUCUGUAGCGGGUCUGAGAGGAUGGUCCGCCACACUGGGACUGAGGCACGGCCGAGACUCCUACGGGAGGCAGCAGUGGGGAAUAUUGGACAAUGGGCGGAAGCCUGAUCCAGCCAUGCCGCGUGUGUGAAGAAGGCCUUUUGGUUGUAAAGCACUUUAAGCGAGGAGGAGGCUACCUGGAUUAAUACUCUAGGAUAGUGGACGUUACUCGCAGAAUAAGCACCGGCUAACUCUGUGCCAGCAGCCGCAGUAAUAC